CCCCCCCCCCCCCACACACACACACACACACACACACACACACACACACACAUUCAUUACUGUAAAUGAGCUGUACUUAGCUGAUCCCAAUGACCACAAAAAAUCCUCUAAACUACUUUGCCCUUCAAAUACUGACAGCACAGGAACCAUGUCUUGCAGAGAGCAUACUGUAGCUUCUUCAUUCUGACAGCCUCUCUCAACAUUUCAAUUGUUAGUUUUUAUAAUUGAAACAUUAAUAUGAAAUUUGAUGCUUGUUUGUUCCGGGGGAAUUGAUAGAAUUACAGGUAAACACAGCCUUAUUUCAUUCACAUUCCCCUGAAGGGUUUGAACUGACUCAAACUUCAGCACAGAUACCAGUGGGUUUUUGUUCCAACCACCUGACUGCUGACUCACUCGGCUUAAUGGGGAAAAAAAUAAUACGGUAACACAUAAACUCUCUCUUCACCUGAGAAACUGAUAACAACUAAUUUUGUUUUAAUCCUGGAUCAUGUUACGCUGUUGUUUUAGAAUUAAUAUUAAAGCAGAUGUAGAAUGCAUUAAAUCUACAUGUGACAGAAAGACUGAAAGAAAAAGCAAUGAGAAAAUAACAUGAUAAUCAAAGAAGCACAAUCUUACUGUGGGAUAAUGAACAUGAAGAAUGCAGAAACUGCUGGAAGUUAAUGUAUAGAUACUUAGACACAUGGUGAAAGAUUUCAGUUAAUUUGUGUGGAAACUGUCUUUCCACCUAAAAUCCAGCUUUUAUAAUCCUUAUAUAUAAACUAUUAAUGUUUAAUAUUGCAUCAUGAAGAACCUCACCCACAGGUUCCAAAUAUUCAUUGAUAGAAGUUUCAAACAAACAGUUUUACACUUGACUACAUUACUUGCACAAAUUUAAGUUAGACUUUAGCAAACAAUUGGUGAAUGAACCAAAGAGUGUUUUCUUAAGCUGAACAUUUUUUUCUGUUUCUCAGACAUUUUUUGACUUUUUUUGAAUUUUCUAUCAAGUACGUUCACGUUCAUCCCUACUCAUUGAAGACUUACUGGAAACUAUAAUUGAAAUAUCCUCUGUGUCUAUUAAACUGGAGAACCGAACCUGACAGCCAUAACUAUAAUUUUAUCAAAUGUUGAUCCUCUCGUCACGAUUUGCAAAUGUUACUUGAAAUAUCUAAAACAAGUUAGAAAGUUCAAGUUAGAAAAUAUAGCCUUUUCAAUCUGAGCAGUAAAAGCAUUGAUUGUUGAUAAUUAGGCUUAAUGUAGUGAAGUUUGUAGAUGGUUUUUUUUGUUUUACCGACAAAACAAGUUUAUAAUGUUUGGAGCCUCAAUGCUCAGUGCUCGACUUCAGUUACACAAGUGAUGGUAAAACACUUAAUGAAUGCCUAAAAGAAAAUUACACAUUAUUUCUUUUAAGUAAAGCUGGUAAAGGUAAAUGAUAGUGUAAAUACACAAUCUCAGUCUUUUGUCCUGAGACUCAGGGUUCGUCUUUAUCUAGCUUCUGACAGUUUAUUUUAUUUUUUAUUUUUUAAUUAUUUCAGGAGUCGGCACAACAAACAUCUGAAGUCAGUUUUGAGUUAACAUGUUACUAUAGUCACUUUCAGCCAUGGAAGACUUAACACAACUCAUCAUUCAGCAUUGAAGUGGCAAAAAAGAGUAGAAGUUGAUUUGAGUGCUGAAUGUUGCAGUAAUUGUGUAAUUAUUAUUUCACUCUGUUAUUUAUAACGCUGCAGUUGCCAUAUGGCCAAAGUGCUUGAAAAGCAUUUUUAUUUUAAAUGAACUGUUUUGUUUCAAACUCAUGCAGUUAGUCAUUAUCUGUGCCUUAUUCUGCAGUGUGAAUUUGGCGUGUUGUCAGUGUGACAUAGAAUGUAGUGAAGAGCUUCGCUGUUACUUCCCUAAACCAAAGUUAAUGCACUGGUCCCACUGCUGUAUUUGACCAGUAUAUAGGCCAUAUGUUAUUCUGUAUAUCAGCCAUGUAAAUUAAUAUGCAAAAAGAAUAUUUAUUAUUAAUUAUGACUGCUGUGAUUAAAAUGUGUUUUGAAAUGAAACCAACGCAAGUUUUCUUAGAUUUUCUAAAGCUGGAAGAAGAAACUACCAUUUUUAUUUCUAAUAAGUCUUUGUAGCCUUGGUAAUUAUCAAGAAUUAUAUGAAGUUGAAAUAGUUGAUUAAAUUUAAAUUGUUAACCCCAGGACUUGCAUGUCCAAUGAGUUUUCACAGUGGGAAAGUAGAUUUUCCAACAAAAUAAUUGAAUAAUUUUUACAGCAAAUUUUAGCUAUUAUCAGCUGACUGUUUUUUUUUUUUUUUAUUGACAUGGUUUUGGCUAACUUGGCCGUUUGUUACCAAUAUACCUCGUCUGACAACUUUAGAUCAGUGUGACUCUGUAAAAAAGGUUAAUUCCUCUUCUGAAUCUUCAGCAGCCUUGGUCAGGAUGAGUGACUAAAUAUAUGUGGGGGGAUGAUCCUUUACAUCCUUAACCCUCUGCUAUUUUACAUUUUAUUAAUACCAUAGGGGGAAGUGACAUUAGUUUGUCUUCUUAACUGCCUUUUAAUGAAUUAUUUAUCCCUGGUUUAAUGAUGUAUACUGUGGCCCUGUAAUGUGCCCUAAUGACAGUGAACGAGGCGGCCUAGGCUGAAGUAUUAAUUUGUUGUGUCUCCCCGAUGAUUAUUCCUCUGCCUCCAACACCACCACUUUCACGCCUCGCUUUCGCUGCUGCUGCUCUAAACACAGGCCUGGAUACAGGCGUGAUUCAUGGAGGCUUUCCGCUCAGUGGUGUGACUUGAUUUCUUGCUGUCACGCUUCCCGUUGAAUGCGAUACAUCCAGGGGGGAUUCACAGCAAUUAGUUCUGCUUUUUAUUUGUCUUUCAGGCACUUCCAGACAUAGCUUGAUGAAUCUGCUGCGGGAAUCCUGAAUUAUAAAUCCAGUAAUAAAAUCUAACCAAGGAUAAGAGCGCUAUAACAGGUAUCGCAGAUAAAACCCUUUUGUUUGUGUCUUUGUCUAACUAUCUUCACUCGACACUCGAGUCACAUCUAAACAUACAGUAAUAAGAAGACAUUUUUUAAAAGUAUGUAAAUUAAGAAAAUUUUGGUGAAAAAUUGGUGAAAUUGUCAACAAAAAUAUGCACCAAUCUUUAACCCAGAUGUAUAGUUUGUGCUAAAAAUUUCAAAAAGCAUUUUAUUGUCUAAUAGCAAAAAUCACUGCAUAUAGUAGUGUCAAAAAACACCUCAAAGGGUUCAAAUCCCUGUGCAAUGACUUUAAACAAAAUGUAUGACUUCUGUCAGUGAAUGAUGAAGUUAAAAAAGGGCUAAUUAGAGUUGGAAUUCUUAUUUAUUGUGUUUACUAAUUUAUCCUGAAUCCAUAUACUAGUUUAAUUCAAUAUAUAGAAUUUGCACCUGGGACCUACUGCCUAGUGGAUGGAUGGAUGUGAUUGAAAAUCUAAAAUGUUAUUAGGAAACUUCUCAUAUGUUCGCUAUUUGUUUCUGUUUUUAUUUAUUUAUUUAUUAUUAAAUCAUUUGUUUUAAUUUGUAUUUAUUUGUACACACACAGAUCUACAAAUUCUUUCACGUUAAUACUUAAAUUUACGUCAUUUCCUCUUCCUGGUUUCCGCACGUGUAGCAAGAGUUUUUAAAUUAUACCGGAAAUGUGCGCUCUGGUUUUAGUCAAACGUUUCGUCGUCGUGUGUGUCUGUGUUUGUGUGUAAGUAGAUGUCAUGAGGGUAAAGAUAACUUGACACAAACAAACUUUUAACGUUUAAACUACAUAAUAAAGCAGUUUUAUGUGAUGUUCAGCCAUUUUAUGGACGUUAGUGCGUUAGUUUUUUUCUCGAUAACCUUUUUUGGCGGCACGUUAACCUGCUACCGUGUGUUUAGUGCUGCGGUCCAGCGUUUUCAUAUCUGUGGACACGUAAUGCACAGCGGAUGGCUCUUCUGGAAAAGGCAAACGUUUGAAAAACCUAAAGGUGACCAACGUGCGGUAGGUCGACUGUGACUGGGACACCAAAAAUGUUUUGACAGGAUCAGCAAGACCGGUGGGUGAAAAGAAAAUGCAUGUGUUCAUCAGUGCCUCAAAGGACAACACUGCCAAGCUCCUUGACGAGAGACCAGUGAACUCUGCCGCCAUUUCUCCAAUCAUGGAUCACGUGGUUAUGGGAGGUGGGCAGGAGGCUAUGGAAGUGACCACAACCUCCACCAGGAUUGACAAAUUUGAGGCCAGGUUCUUCUAUGCUGUGUAGUAGGAGGAGGAGUUUGGCAGAGUGAAAGGUCAUUUUGUCCCAUCAACUGUGUGGCUUUCCACACCAAGAGACACAGCAGCUUGGACUCUGCCAGGUAGAGUGAAGGAGCAACUUUAUUUGAAGCAGAUCACUUGUUGGUUGCUGGACUUGUGAGUGUUUUACUGAGUUGUGUAAUUGUAGUGACUAAUUGUUUACCUUGAGCUGUAUUUGACUUAAAUCCCUGUUGUAAAGAAAGAGGGACUUGGGUUUUUUUUAGUUAUGUAAAAAUUAUUCUCAAUUUCUUUGUGAGCUGUCUUUGACUGUUGUAAACCUUCUAGAAUAAGCCUCUUCUAAAGGUAAAAAAAAGAGAAAAAAAAAAACCUUUUUUGUGCCUUAAUGCUGUUGGCAGGUAGUCACUUUUAUUGUGAAGCUUCUUCUAAAGGUAAAGAAAGAAAACCUUUUUUAAAUACUUAAAAAAACCUUAAAUUUUUUUUUUAUAUAUAGUUAUGUGAAAGUUCAUUGUGCCUUAAUGGUAUUGUCACUUUCAUUGUGAGCUCUAUUUGACUCUUCUAAACCUUCCAGAAUAAAGAAACUGUGUGCACUCA